CGAGUGCCUCGAGCGUUAUCCGGAAUCAUUGGGCGUAAAGGGUGCGUAGGCGGCAUUGUUAGUCUCCCGUUAAAUCUUUCGGCUCAACCGAGAGUCUGCGGGGGAAACGGCAAUGCUUGAGGACGGGAGAGGUUUCUGGAACUCAUGGUGUAGCGGUGAAAUGCGUUGAUAUCAUGGGGAACACCAAAAGCGAAGGCAAGAAACUGGCCCGCUCCUGACGCUGAAGCACGAAAGCGUGGGUCGCGAAUGGGAUUAGAUACCCCAGUAGUCCACGCCCUAAACGAUGAUCUCUCGCUUUGAGGAGUAUCGACCCUCUUCGAGGCUAAGCAAACGCGUUAAGAGAUCCGCCUGGGUAGUACGGCCGCAAGGUUG
rnacentral:rRNA from 1 species